UGUGAGUUUGGUGAACUCAAGAACCAAGUGUCCUUGACUUCUAUGAACAUGCUUCCUGACACCUGCUCUGUCCUGGUGCUCCUGUUAAUGCUCAGGAUGAGCAAUGGAGACUCAGUGACCCAGACAGAAGGCCUGGUUACUGUCACAGAGGGGUCACCUGUGAUGCUGAACUGCACCUAUCAGACUACUUACUCAACUUCUUUCCCUUUGUGGUAUGUGCAAUAUCCCAACAAAGCCCCUCAGCUACUCCUGUGGAGUGCUACAGACAACAAGAGGACAGAGCACCAAGGGUUCCAUGCCACUCUCCAUAAGAGCAACAGCUCCUUCCACCUGCAGAAGUCCUCGGUGCAGCUGUGGGACUCUGCCCUGUACUACUGUGCUCUGAGUGACACAGUGAGGGAGACUGCAGGGGAAGCUGCACACAAACCAACGGUACAGGAGGGCUGA